rnacentral:lncRNA from 1 species
GAAGAUACGCAGGACGUCCUCUAAAGCAACUUCCGUGGGUGCCAGGUUGUGGGCUGGGGGCGGUGCUGACCUUGAGAGAGCGGAGGAGGCGCAGGCGCAGCACAGUUUAAACUUGAUUUUGUGAGGGGACGAACAGCGUGACAAUUAAAAGAAGAUCUGGGAAUCAAAAGCUUCCUGAGGCCUUCACCAGAAGCAGAUGCUGGUGCCGUGCUUCUACAGCCUGCAGAACUAAGAGAAGACAUGGAGAAGAGGAGGGAGUAGUUGUGACCGUGGAGGCAGAGAAUGGAGUAAUGUGAUCAUAAAUCAAGGAAUGCUGACAGCCACUAAAGCUGGAGAAGGCCAAGGACAGAUAUUCAAUCCUCCCGUAGAAGUACAGCCCUGCUAAUGCAUUGAUUUUGGACUUCUGGCCUCAGAACUAUUUAUAUAUCAGCUUUUUAUCAGUUGAAAUAAACCACCCUGGGCCGGGUGCAGUGGCUCACACCUGUAAUCCCAGCACUUUGGGAGGCCGAGGCAGGUAGAUCAUUUGAGGUCAGGAGUUCAAGGCCAGCCUGACCAACAUGGUGAAACCGCAUCUCUACUAAAAAAUACAAAAAUUAGCCCGGUGUUGUGGCAGGCGCUUGCAAUCCCAGCUACUCAGGAGGCUGAGGCACAAGAAUUCCUUGAACCUGGGAGGUGGAGGUUGCAGUGAGUCGAAACCAAGCCACUGCCCUCCAGUCUGGGCAACAGAUUGAGAGUCUGUCUCGAAAAAAAUAAAUACAUAAAAUAAAUAAGCCACACUGUACUUGUGAAGAUUAACUGAGAUGUUUAAAACAUUAUUUGCAAAAAUGCAAGACAUGAUGUAAGUGUAAAGCAUUAUUAUAUAUCAACAUAAUUGACCAUUAGAAAAAUGCAAAUUAACACCUCAAUGAGAUAUAUCACCAGACACCUGUUAGAAUGGUUAAAAUAAAAAGUACUGAUGAUAUUAAGUGCUGAUAAAAUGCAGAGUAACUCGAUCUCUCAUACAUUGCUGAUGCUAAUGUAAAAUGAUAUCACCACUCUAGAAAACAGUUUGGCAGUUUCUUAUAAAGUUAAACAUGCACUUACUAUACAACCCAGUAAUACACCUACUGGAUAUUCAUUCUAGGGAGAUCAAAAUUUACACCCAAAAACAUGUACAUAAAUGUUCAUAUCAGCUUUAUUUACAAUAGCCCAAAAGGAAACAAUCAGAUGUCCUCCAAUUGAUAACUGGUAUAACCCUAUCACAGAAUCCUACUGAGCAAUAAAAAGGAAAGCACUGUUGAUACAUACAACAACUUGAGUGCAUUUCAAGGCUGUUAUGCUGACUGAAAUAAAAGCUAAUCUCAAAAGGUUAUGUAUUAUGUGAUUCUGUUUAUAUAACAUUCUCAAAUUGCAAAAUCACAGCAAUGAAGAACUGAUCAGUAGUGCCAGGGGUUAGGGUUGUGGGGAGGGUGUGAUGAUGAAUGGGCAGCGUAAGAGAAUUUCUUUGGAGUGAUGGAAUAGUUUUAUAUCUUGAUUAUAGUGAUCAUUAUAUUAAACAAUUGCAUGUGAUAAAAUUCUAUAGGACUGUAUGCCAAAAAUAACUUAAUAUGUUUAUUUUUAAGGUCUGGAAAGCAUGGAAAUUUGUAUCUUCAUUCACUUUUGUUUUCAUGGACUCUUUUCAUGUUUGAACUUUUCAUGGUAUGAGCUGUUUUAUAAUCUAUAAUAUGGAAUGUUUCUCAUACGAAUGUUUUUCUUAUUGAAGAAUGCCAUAGAAAUAAGGGUGUGAGGUAUACUUACUUGACAGGAGAAUUUUACUCCUUUUAUUUUAUUUACUUAUUUAUUUUUAAGACGGAGUCCUGCUGUGUUGUCCAGGCUGGUCUUGAACCCCUGGACUCAAACGAUCUUUCUCCUUGGCCUCCCAAAGUUCUGGGAUUACAGGUAUGAGCUACAGUGCCCUGAGAGUCCUUUUUAAAGUAGUGAAUGCUCAAACAUGGAAUUAAAUUUAGGCAAAGCUCACUUUUAUUUAUACAUAAAACAACUUCAGCCAUGUACCUCAUAACGAUAUUUUGGCCAAUGUCUGACCUUAUAUACAAUGGUUGUCCUGUACGAUUAUAAUGAAGCUGAAAAUUUUCUAUUGCCUAGUAACAUUGUAGUAAUUGUAAUGUAGCACAACCUAUCACACGUGUUUGUAGUGAUGCUGGUGUAAACAAACCGACUGCAUUGCCAGUCUAGUAUAAAAGUCUAGCACACACAAUUAUCCACAGUAUAUAAUAGUUGAUAAUGAUAAUAAACAACUGUCACUGGCUUAUAUAUUUGCUAUACUAUACUUUUUAUCAUUAUUUUAGAGUAUAUUUAGAGUAUAUUAAGCAGCCUUAGGCAGGUCUUUCAGGAGGCAUUCCAGAAGAAGGCAUUGUUAUCAUAGGAGGUGACAGCUCCCUGUGUGUUGUUGCCCCUGAAGAACUUCCAGUGGGACAAGAUAUGGUGGUGAAAGACAGUGAUAUUGAUGAUCUUGACCCUGUGUAGGCUUAGGCUCAUGUGUUUGUGUCUUCAUUCUUUUUUUUUUUUUGAGAUGGGGUCUCGCACUGUUGCCCAGGCUGGAGUGCAGUGGCGCGACCUUGGCUCACUGCAAGCUCCGCCUCCUGGGUUGAUGCCAUUCUCCUGCCUCAGCCUCCCAAGUAGCUGGGACUACAGGUGCCCACCACUACGCCUGACUAAUUUUUUGUACUUUUAGUAGAGACGGGGUUUCACCAUGUUAGCCAGGAUGGUCUUGAUCUCCUGACCUCGUGAUCCGCCCGCCUCGGCCUCCCAAAGUGCUGGGAUUACAGUAUUUAAGACAUUUUUAUAAAUUAAAAAUUUUUUAAAUAGAAAAAAGCCUAUAGCAUAAGGAUAUAAAGAAAAAGUAUUUUUAUGCAGCUGCACAAUGUAUUUGUGUUUUAAACUGUGUUAUUAUGCAAGAGUUACAGAGUUUUUAAAAAUAAAAAGUUUAUAAAGUAAAAAACUUACAACACAUCAAAAGAUAAUACACCAUGAUCAAGUGGGCUUUAUCCCAGGGAUGCAAGCAUAGUUCAACAUAUGCAAAUUAAUAAGUGAUAUCAACAGAAUGAAGGACAAAAGCUUUAUGAUCAUCUUAACAGAUACAGAAAAGCAUUUGAUAAAAUUUAACUUCCUUCAUGAUAAAAACUCUCGAAGGAACAUACCUCAGCAUAUUAAGGGCCAUAUAUGGUUAACCCAGAGCUAAAAUCAUACUGAACAGGGAAAAGCUGAAAGCCUUCCUGCAAAGAACUGGAACAAGACAAGGAUGACCACUUGCACCACUCUUAUUCAACAUGGUACUGGAAGUCCUAGCCAGAGCAAUCAGGCAAGAGAAAGAAUUAAAAGACAUCCAGUUGGAAAAAAGGAGGUCAUAUAUUUUCUCUGCAGACAACAUAAUCUUAUAUCUAGAAAAACCUGAAGACUCCACCAAAAAGGGUGAGCAUGGUGACUCAUGCCUGUAAUCUCAGCACUUUGAGAGGCUGAGGCAGGAGGAUCACUUGAGCCCAGGGGUUCAAGACCAGCCUGGACAACAUAGUGAGACCCCAAUCUCUAAAAAAAGUUAAAAACUUUAGCCAGGUGUGGUGGCACAUGCCUGUUGUCCUAGCUGCUUGUGAGCCUGGGGUGGGAGGAUCACUUGAGCCCUGGAGUUUAAGGCUGCAGUGAGCAAUGAUCAUGCCACUGCACUGUAGCCUGGGUUGUGACAGCGCAAGACACUGUUAAUAAACAAGACAAAACAGACUCCAUCAAAAAGCUCUUAGAGCUGAUAAACAAAUUCAGUAAAGUUUCAGGAUCCAAAACCAACAUGCAAAAAUCAGUAGUGUUUCUAUACGCCAAUAACAAACAAGCUGAAAAAUACAUUAAGAAAGCAAUUCCAUUUACAAUAGCUACAAAAAAAAAAACUUAGAAAUAAAUGUAACCAAGGCGGUAAAAGACCUCUAUGCCAUAAACGACAGAACAUUGAUGAAAGAAAUUGAAAAGGACACAAAUAGAUAUCCCAUGUUC